rnacentral:rRNA from 1 species
GACGUAGGGGGCCAGCGUUGUUCGGAAUUACUGGGUGUAAAGGGUUCGUAGGCGGUGUGGCAAGUCGGGAGUGAAAUCUCUGGGCUCAACUCAGAGACUGCUUCCGAAACUGCUGUGCUGGAGUGUGGGAGAGGCGCGUGGAAUUGCAGGUGUAGCGGUGAAAUGCGUAGACAUCUGCAGGAACACCCGUGGCGAAAGCGGCGCGCUGGACCACUACUGACGCUGAGGAACGAAAGCUAGGGGAGCAAACAGG